rnacentral:rRNA from 1 species
AGAGUUUGAUCCUGGCUCAGAACGAACGCUGGCGGCGUGCCUAACACAUGCAAGUCGAACGAGAAGGGGGCUUCGGUCCCUGGAAAGUGGCGCACGGGUGAGUAACGCGUGGAUAAUCUACCUAGCGGUCUGGGAUAACAUCUCGAAAGGGGUGCUAAUACCGGAUAAGCCCACAAGGUCUACGGAUCUAGCGGGAAAAGGGGGGGACCUUCGGGCCUUCUGCCACUGGAUGAGUCCGCGUACCAUUAGCUAUUUGGUGGGGUAAUGGCCCACCCAAGGCUACGAUGGUUAGCUGGUCUGAGAGGAUGAUCAGCCACACUGGAACUGAGACACGGUCCCAGACUCCUACGGGAGGCAGCAGUGAGGAAUAUUGCGCAAUGGGCGAAAGCCUGACGCAGCAACGCCGCGUGAGGGAUGAAGGUGCUCUGCAUUGUAAACCUCUGUAGAGAGGGACGAAAUGCCGGCUCUGCCGGAUUUGACGGUACCUCUAAAGUAAGCACCGGCUAACUCCGUGCCAGCAGCCGCGGUAAUACGGAGGGUGCAAGCGUUGUCCGGAUUUACUGGGUGUAAAGGGCGUGUAGGCGGGGGAGUAUGUCGGAAGUGAAAUCGUGCGGCUUAACCGUAUCAAUGGCUUCCGAAACUGCUCCUCUUGAGUACGGGAGAGGCAGAUGGAAUUCCUGGUGUAGCGGUGGAAUGCGUAGAUAUCAGGAAGAACACCGGUUGCGAAGGCGGUCUGCUGGUCCGUAACUGACGCUGAGGCGCGAAAGUGUGGGGAGCAAACAGGAUUAGAUACCCUGGUAGUCCACGCCGUAAACUGUGAGCGCUAGGUGUAGCGGGUAUUGACCCCUGCUGUGCCGCAGCUAACGCAUUAAGCGCUCCGCCUGGGGAGUACGGCCGCAAGGUUAAAACUCAAAGGAAUUGACGG